CAAUAGCGUAUAUUAAAGUUGUUGCAGUUAAAAAAGCUCGUAGUUGGAGUUCAGAGUGAGCUCAGCCGGUCGGCCUUAUGGGUCAGAACUGGUUGACUCUCUCUUGUUUGUGGAUCCCUUCGGAGUUAACUCUUCGGAUGUGGAGUCCACAUCGUUUACCUUGAAAAAAAUUAGAGUGUUCAAAGCAGGCGUUUUGCUUGAAUAUAUUAGCAUGGAAUAAUAGAAUAGGACUUCGGUACUAUUUUGUUGGUUUCUAGGACCGAAGUAAUGAUUAAUAGGGACAGUUGGGGGCAUUCAUAUUCCAUUGUCAGAGGUGAAAUUCUUGGAUUAACGGAAGAUGAACUACUGCGAAAGCAUCUGCCAAGGAUGUUUUCAUUGAUCAAGAACGAAAGUUAGGGGAUCGAAGAUGAUCAGAU
rnacentral:rRNA from 1 species